UAAUAAAAAUUUAAUCCAUUUCAACUCUUAAAAAACUGGAGUAGCUGAUAAAAUAACCACAUGUACCUCAUGCUGAUGUACUAGUACUAGUUUUUAACAGUAAAAAUAGAUGGAUUUUUUAACA
rfam:Gossypium raimondii Chr13_contig_1178, whole genome shotgun sequence.